rnacentral:misc_RNA from 1 species
UUAUUAUUAUUAUUAUUAUCAUCACAUUGCUGAGUAGUAUCCAUGAAACUAUCAUGGAUAUGUUAUAUACUAUACUCAAUUAGCCAUCUCUUAUAGACAGCCUAGCCUGAUUCUGGGCUUCUGCGUCUCCUAAUACUAGAAUGUUCUACUCAAAGAUGAAUAUCCAUGACAACAUAGUUUACUAUAUGCUGAUAUGUCUGCCUGAUUCGUUGUCUAGGAUCUGAUGUAGCUUUUGACUCUGUAUUAGUUCUGCAGUGGAUGUAAGUGUGUUCUCUUACUACUUUAGCCUUUGCAGUUAUAUUAAUUUUCCCUAGUUUAUUUUCUUCAUCCACGCAAAUAAUAUUUCAUUGCUGGUUUAUUGAAUUUGCCAGUCUUAUAUCAAGUUUUGUGGCUACCUUCUAAUUAUCAGACCAUUUAUGUUUUAAGGAUGAUAUUUAUGUUAAACAAAUGCACAUAUAAUGUGUGUGUGUGUUUCUUCUUAGGUUUAUCAUCUUCUGAAACGGUCCCCACGAUAGUUGUAUGUGAGGCUUAUCAAGCCUCAUUGUCCAAUAACUUGGAGUUUCAAAAUUGAACACCCUAACAAGGUGUUAGAUUUUGCUAUAUUUCUAAGCCCAUUUAUAGUCACUGUUGUCCUGUCUAUUGUGUUCAUUUAAGUUGUAAAAUCUUUUACGCAGAAUUUAAAACUCUGUUAUCUAUCAGAAUUGGUUCUAGUACAGUAAAGGACAAUAUGUUGGAAUCUCAGUUGGCAGCUUGCCGUCAAGUGAUUGCAGUUGUGGUUGAUACACGUAUGCUUAUAUCUUGCUGUUCUGAGCCUCAUAAAUUCUUAGAUAAUGCCAAAGAUGAUAUACAGGAAUCUCAGCUAAUAGCUUGCUGUCAAGGACAGGUGAUAAUGUUUGUUGUUGAAUGUUGAGUCAUAUAUAUGUUCGCUUGUUUAGAUACUGAUUUGAGUAUCUAAUUCUAAAUUUGACUUUCUACCUGACAAUCUUUGACAUUGUAAUUUAUGAAUUAUGAAGUUAAAUUUGUGACCUCAUGCAUAUAUUUUCUUAAUGCAUAGAUGAUAUGUCUGGCAGUGCCAUGCUGCAUAGCAGGUUAUAAGUUGAAAAGCUCGGAGCAGGGAUUGGGAUGUUUUAACUAUUGCUGGCCUCUGAAAUUCUUUGCUUUGUGCCAACCAGCUAACAUAUUGUGCAGAUGUAAUCCUGUUUGGAGAACUUAAAAAUACAAACAUUUUAUAUGGCAUUUGUUGGAAUUUCUGGAUUGGAUUUAAGUUCAUUUAAGAGCCGCAACCCCUUGUUCUUGUUGGCCAAGUGAUAAGAAAACCAGGUAUGACAGUGGUUGACGGUGGAAAUGGCUUCUUCAUCCUUGCCCGGCAGAUGAUCAUUAUUGGGGCGGGAACUUCUUUGUCGGGCAACAGACCGGUGAAGAAAGGGGA